AUGGAGAUAUCUUUUCUCAUGUUGUUGGUUCUCUCUCUGCUUCUGUUUCCUAAUGGCAUCUGCAAGGGUUUAGCUGCGAGGCCUCCUGUUGUGAAUAUUGGGUCUAUUCUUCAAUUUAACUCCACCACUGGAGGUGUUGCCGCGGUUGCCAUCCAUGCAGCCUUGGAAGAUAUCAACUCUGAUCCAACAGUUCUAAAUGGAACUACACUAAAGGUUCAAAUCAAGGAUACAAAUUGCUUUGAUGGUUUCCUUGGCAUGGUUCAAGCUUUGCAGUUCAUGGAGACUGAUGUUGUUGCACUCAUUGGCCCUCAGUGCUCUACAAUUUCUCAUAUCAUUUCAUAUGUAGCAAAUGAGCUUCGAGUCCCUUUGAUGUCCUUUGCUUCUGAUGCAACUCUUUCAUCGAUACAAUUCCCGUUCUUUGUCAGGACUGGUCCCAAUGACCUCUAUCAAAUGGCGGCUGUGGCAGAAGUUGUUGACUACAACCACUGGAAGAUUGUGACUGCCAUAUACAUUGACAAUGUUUAUGGUCGAAAUGGCAUUGCUGCUUUGGAUGAUGCACUUGCUUUAAAGCGCUGCAAAAUCUCCUACAAAGUUGGGUUUCCUUCCAAUGCUAAAAGAAGUGAGCUCAUAAAUUUGUUGGUUAGUGUCAGUUAUAUGGAGUCUCGUGUUAUCAUUCUCCAUACUGGAGCUGAACCUGGACUCAAGCUUUUCUCUAUGGCAAAACAACUGAACAUGAUGGGCAACGGCUAUGUGUGGAUUGCAACUGACUGGCUGUCUGCAUAUCUUGAUGCUAAUUCAUCAGUUCCUGCUGAGACUAUAUCUGGCCUGCAAGGUGUUCUUACUUUACGGCCACAUAUCCCCAACUCAAAGAUGAAGAGUAAUUUGGUCUCCAAAUGGAACAAGCAAAGUAAAAAGUCCAACUAUAGUGAUCUUCGUGUAAAUACUUACGGUUUUUAUGUUUAUGAUAGUGUCUGGGCAGUAGCUCGGGCUCUGGAUGCCUUCUUUGAUGAUGGUGGUCGGAUUUCCUUUUCAAAUGACUCGAUGUUGCAUGAUGAAACUGGAGGAACUCUUCACCUUGAAGCAAUGAGCAUUUCUGACAUGGGAAAUAAAUUAUUGGAGAAGAUUAGAAAGGUAAACUUCACUGGGGUGUCUGGGCAAGUGCAAUUCGAUGCUGGAGGCAACCUAAUUCAUCCUGCAUAUGACAUCAUAAACAUCAUCGGAAAUGGCAUGCGGACCAUUGGUUUUUGGUCAAAUUAUUCUGGCUUGUUGUCGACUGUCUCUCCAGAGGCUCUAUAUUCAAAGCCUCCUAAUAUUUCUCUCGCUGAUCAGCAUCUCUAUGAUGUUAUUUGGCCUGGGGAGACUGCACAGAGGCCUCGAGGAUGGGUUUUUCCUUCUAAUGCCAAGCAGUUGAAAAUUGGUGUUCCCAACAGAUUUAGUUUCAAAGAGUUUGUCACGAAAGACAAUUCUACUGGGUCAAUGAAGGGUUAUUGCAUCGAUGUCUUUACUCAGGCAUUGGCUUUGCUUCCUUAUCCUGUUAGUUACAAGUUUGUACCUUUUGGGAAUGGUACUGAAAAUCCUAAUUAUGACAAACUCGUACAGAUGAUUGAAUCAAAUGAAUUCGAUGCCGCUAUAGGGGAUAUCGCAAUUACAAUGAGGCGGACAGUAACUUUAGAUUUCACCCAGCCAUUCAUUGAAACAGGCUUAGUUAUCUUGGCUCCGGUUAAACAGCAUAUAACAUCGUCCUGGGCAUUCUUGCAGCCAUUUACUUUGCAGAUGUGGUGUGUUACAGGGUCGUACUUCCUUAUUGUGGGUGUGGUUGUUUGGGUUCUUGAACAUCGGAUCAAUGAUGAUUUCCGUGGUUCAGUACGUCAACAAAUAAUAACUAUUUUCUGGUUCAGCUUUUCGACGUUGUUCUUUGCACACAGAGAAAAUACUAUGAGCAGCUCAGGGCGUGGUGUCCUGAUCAUAUGGCUGUUUGUUGUUUUGAUAAUUGUAUCCAGCUACACCGCGAGUCUUACUUCCAUCCUGACCGUGCAACAACUUGAUACUUCUAUAAAAGGAAUCGAUGACCUGAAAAGUAGCAAUGAUCCUAUUGGUUUCCAAGUUGGUUCUUUUGCACAAGACUACAUGGUCAAGGAGCUCAACAUCUCACGUUCAAGGCUGAGAGCUCUCAGUUCACCACAAGAAUACGCUGAAGCCCUCAAGCUAGGCCCCAAGGAAGGAGGUGUUAUGGCCAUUGUUGACGAGCGCCCCUAUGUUGAACUGUUUUUGUCAACCUACUGCAAGAUUGCGGUAGCUGGCACAGAUUUCACCAGCAGAGGAUGGGGCUUUGCAUUUCCAAGGGACUCCCCUUUGCAAGUAGACCUCUCCACCGCAAUCCUGUCAUUGUCAGAGAAUGGGGAACUGCAGCGAAUCCAUGACAAGUGGCUCAAGACAGGGGAGUGCGCAACUGACAACAGCGAGUUCGUUGACUCGGACCAGCUCCGCCUUGAGAGCUUCCUUGGUCUGUUCCUAAUCUGUGGCGUUGCAUGCAUCCUCGCGUUGCUAAUCUACUUUGGUAUCAUGCUACGCAAAUACCUGAGGCAUGACCAGAGGAAGAGCCUGAGAAGAUUCAUCUCAUUCGUCCAUGGCAAGGAUCCGCCGAAGAACAACGAGAGGCGGUCCAUGAGCCUGCUUGGAAGCUCGACGCCGGCAACGCCGAUGAGCAGCCUUACUACCCUUGAGAUAGAAAGGCCGGCCAGGGAAGUCAGAAAUGGCAGCGUUAUUGAAAUGGAAAGCUAG
rnacentral:rRNA from 1 species